rnacentral:tRNA from 1 species
GUAGUCGUGGCCGGGUGGUUAAGGCGACAGACUUGAAAUCUGUUGGGAUAUUCCGCGCAGGUUCAAAUCCUGCCGACUACG